rnacentral:rRNA from 1 species
AUUGAACGCUGGCGGCAGGCCUAACACAUGCAAGUCGAGCGAGCGGCGGACGGGUGAGUAAUGUCUGGGAAACUGCCUGAUGGAGGGGGAUAACUACUGGAAACGGUAGCUAAUACCGCAUACCAUCAGAUGUGCCCAGAGGGGAUUAGCUAGUAGGGGGGGUAAUGGCUCACCUAGGCGACGAUCCCUAGCUGGUCUGCGAGGAUGAACAGCCACACUGGAACUGAGACACGGUCCAGACUCCUACGAUAGGGAGCAGUGGGGAAUAUUGCACAAUGGAAGCAAGCCUGAUGCAGCCAUGCCGCGUGUGUGAAGAAGGCCUUCGGGUUGUAAAGCACUUUCAGUGGUGAGGCGUUACCCGCAGAAGAAGCACCGGCUAACUCCGUGCCAGCAGCCGCGGUAAUUC